rnacentral:rRNA from 1 species
UAGAGGUUGUGGUCUUGACCGUGGCUUCUGGAGCUAACGCGUUAAAUCGACCGCCUGGGGAGUACGGCCGCAAGGUUAAAACUCAAAUGAAUUGACGGGGGCCCGCACAAGCGGUGGAGCAUGUGGUUUAAUUCGAUGCAACGCGAAGAACCUUACCUACUCUUGACAUCCAGCGAAUCCUUUAAAGAUAGAGGAGUGCCUUCGGGAACGCUGAGACAGGUGCUGCAUGGCUGUCGUCAGCUCGUGUUGUGAAAUGUUGGGUUAAGUCCCGCAACGAGCGCAACCCUUAUCCUUUGUUGCCAGCACGUAAUGGUGGGAACUCAAAGGAGACUGCCGGUGAUAAACCGGAGGAAGGUGGGGAUGACGUCAAGUCAUCAUGGCCCUUACGAGUAGGGCUACACACGUGCUACAAUGGCAGAUACAAAGAGAAGCGACCUCGCGAGAGCAAGCGGAACUCAUAAAGUCUGUCGUAGUCCGGAUUGGAGUCUGCAACUCGACUCCAUGAAGUCGGAAUCGCUAGUAAUCGUAGAUGAUAAUGCUACGGUGAAUACGUUCCCGGGCCUUGUACACACCGCCCGUCACACCAUGGGAGUGGGUUGCAAAAGAAGUAGGUAGCUUAACCUUCGGGAGGGCGCUUACCACUUUGUGAUUCAUGACUGGGGUGAAG